CAGCCGCCGCGGGAAUACGAAGGGGGCUAGCGUUGUUCGGAUUUACUGGGCGUAAAGCGCACGUAGGCGGAUCGAUCAGUCAGGGGUGAAAUCCCAGAGCUCAACUCUGGAACUGCCUCUGAUACUGUCGAUCUGGAGUAUGGAAGAGGUGAGUGGAAUUCCGAGUGUAGAGGUGAAAUUCGUAGAUAUUCGGAGGAACACCAGUGGCGAAGGCGGCUCACUGGUCCAUUACUGACGCUGAGGUGCGAAAGCGUGGGGAGCAAACAGGAUUAGAUACCCCAGUAGUCCCUGUCUCUUAUAA
rnacentral:rRNA from 1 species